UGGGGAAUCUUGCGCAAUGGUCGAAAGACUGACGCAGCGACGCCGCGUGGGCGACGAAGGCCUUCGGGUUGUAAAGCCCUGUGGGGCGGGACGAACCGUGCGUGGGCGAACACCCCGCGCACCUGACGGUACCGCCUUAGCAAGCACCGGCUAACUCUGUGCCAGCAGCCGCGGUAAGACAGAGGGUGCGAACGUUGCUCGGAAUGACUGGGCGUAAAGCGCGUGUAGGCGGUCUCGCCAGUCCGGUGUGAAAGCCCAGGGCUCAACCCUGGAACUGCGCUGGAUACUACGAGGCUUGAGUACUGGAGAGGAGAGCGGAAUUCUCGGUGUAGAGGUGAAAUUCGUAGAUAUCGGGAGGAACACCAGUGGCGAAGGCGGCUCUCUGGACAGUAACUGACGCUGAGACGCGAAAGCGUGGGUAGCAAACAGG
rnacentral:rRNA from 1 species